rnacentral:pre_miRNA from 1 species
UUAAUUUAAAUUUGUAUGGAGUUGGAAUGUUUGCGUAAGUUUGCCGCUAGGGGCGGUGUUCCAACUGCAUACAAAUACUAGUUA